CCUACGGGAGGCAGCAGUGGGGAAUAUUCCACAAUGGGGGAAACCCUGAUGCAGCAACGCCGCGUGAGUGAAGAAGUAUUUCGGAUCGUAAAGCUCUAUUAGCAGGGAAGAAGAUGACGGUACCUGAGUAAGCAGCCCCGGCUAACUACGUGCCAGCAGCCGCGGUCAUACGAAGGGGGCAAGCGUUCUCCGGAUUUACUGGGUGAAAGGGGAGCGUAGACGGUGUGACAAGUCUGAAGUGAAAGCCCGGGGAUCAACCCCGGGACGGCUUUGGAAACUGCCUGACUGGAGUGCUGGAGAGGCAAGAGGAAUUCCAAGUGUAGCGGUGAAAUGCGUAGAUAUUAGGAAGAACACCAGUGGCGAAGGCGGCUUGCUGGACAGUAACUGACGUUGAGGCUCGAAAGCGUGGGGAGCAAACAGGAUUAGAUACCCCUGUAGUC
rnacentral:rRNA from 1 species